rnacentral:misc_RNA from 1 species
GGAUGAAGAACGCAGCGAAAUGCGAUAAGUAAUGUGAAUUGCAGAAUUCAGUGAAUCAUCGAAUCUUUGAACGCACAUUGCGCCCGCCAGUAUUCUGGCGGGCAUGCCUGUUCGAGCGUCAUUAAAACCCUCAGGCCCCCGGGCCUGGCGUUGGGGAUCGGCGGAAGCCCCCUGUGGGCACACGCCGUCCCUCAAAUACAGUGGCGGUCCCGCCGCAGCUUCCAUUGCGUAGUAGCUAACACCUCGCAACUGGAGAGCGGCGCGGCCAUGCCGUAAAACACCCAACUUCUGAAUGUUGACCUCGAAUCAGGUAGGAAUACCCGCUGAACUUAAGCAUAUCAUAAGCGGAGGA